rnacentral:piRNA from 1 species
UUUUUCAAAUUGAACUUCCAG